GGGAUUCAACGGCACGGAUAUGGAACCUCAGUGAAAACAGCACAAGUGGCUCCACGCAGCUGGUACUUCGACACUGUAUACGAGAAGGAGGGCAGGAUGUACCGAGCAACAAAGAUGUCACAUCCCUGGAUUGGAACAGUGAAGGUACACUUCUAGCAACUGGGUCCUAUGAUGGGUUUGCAAGGAUAUGGACUAAAGAUGGUAAUCUUGCCAGCACCUUAGGGCAACAUAAAGGUCCUAUAUUUGCGUUAAAAUGGAACAAGAAAGGAAACUUCAUUUUAAGUGCAGGAGUGGACAAGGUGAGAUUAUCUUUGGUAAAAUUA